GAGUUUGAACCUGGCUCAGGACGAACGCUGGCGGCGUGCCUAAUACAUGCAAGUCGAGCGAGCUUGCCUAGAUGAUUUUAGUGCUUGCACUAAAUGAAACUAGAUACAAGCGAGCGGCGGACGGGUGAGUAACACGUGGGUAACCUGCCCAAGAGACUGGGAUAACACCUGGAAACAGAUGCUAAUACCGGAUAACAACACUAGACGCAUGUCUAGAGUUUGAAAGAUGGUUCUGCUAUCACUCUUGGAUGGACCUGCGGUGCAUUAGCUAGUUGGUAAGGUAACGGCUUACCAAGGCAAUGAUGCAUAGCCGAGUUGAGAGACUGAUCGGCCACAUUGGGACUGAGACACGGCCCAAACUCCUACGGGAGGCAGCAGUAGGGAAUCUUCCACAAUGGACGAAAGUCUGAUGGAGCAACGCCGCGUGAGUGAAGAAGGGUUUCGGCUCGUAAAGCUCUGUUGGCAGUGAAGAAAGAUAGAGGUAGUAACUGGCCUUUAUUUGACGGUAAUUACUUAGAAAGUCACGGCUAACUACGUGCCAGCAGCCGCGGUAAUACGUAGGUGGCAAGCGUUGUCCGGAUUUAUUGGGCGUAAAGCGAGUGCAGGCGGUUCAAUAAGUCUGAUGUGAAAGCCUUCGGCUCAACCGGAGAA
rnacentral:rRNA from 1 species